GACGAACGCUGGCGGCGUGCUUAACACAUGCAAGUCGAACGGAAAGGCCCUGCUUUUGUGGGGUGCUCGAGUGGCGAACGGGUGAGUAACACGUGAGUAACCUGCCCUUGACUUUGGGAUAACUUCAGGAAACUGGGGCUAAUACCGGAUAGGAGCUCCUGCUGCAUGGUGGGGGUUGGAAAGUUUCGGCGGUUGGGGAUGGACUCGCGGCUUAUCAGCUUGUUGGUGGGGUAGUGGCUUACCAAGGCUUUGACGGGUAGCCGGCCUGAGAGGGUGACCGGCCACAUUGGGACUGAGAUACGGCCCAGACUCCUACGGGAGGCAGCAGUGGGGAAUAUUGCACAAUGGGCGGAAGCCAGAUGCAGCAACGCCGCGUGCGGGAUGACGGCCCUCGGGUUGUAAACCGCUUUCGCCUGUGACGAAGCGUGAGUGACGGUAAUGGGUAAAGAAGCACCGGCUAACUACGUGCCAGCAGCCGCGGUGAUACGUAGGGUGCGAGCGUUGUCCGGAUUUAUUGGGCGUAAAGGGCUCGUAGGUGGUUGAUCGCGUCGGAAGUGUAAUCUUGGGGCUUAACCCUGAGCGUGCUUUCGAUACGGGUUGACUUGAGGAAGGUAGGGGAGAAUGGAAUUCCUGGUGGAGCGGUGGAAUGCGCAGAUAUCAGGAGGAACACCAGUGGCGAAGGCGGUUCUCUGGGCCUUUCCUGACGCUGAGGAGCGAAAGCGUGGGGAGCGAACAGGCUUAGAUACCCUGGUAGUCCACGCUGUAAACGGUGGGUACUAGGUGUGGGGUCCAUUCCACGGGUUCCGUGCCGUAGCUAACGCUUUAAGUACCCCGCCUGGGGAGUACGGCCGCAAGGCUAAAACUCAAAGGAAUUGACGGGGCCCCGCACAAGCGGCGGAGCAUGCGGAUUAAUUCGAUGCAACGCGUAGAACCUUACCUGGGUUUGACAUGGAUCGGGAGUGCUCAGAGAUGGGUGUGCCUCUUUUGGGGUCGGUUCACAGGUGGUGCAUGGCUGUCGUCAGCUCGUGUCGUGAGAUGUUGGGUUAAGUCCCGCAACGAGCGCAACCCUUGUUCACUGUUGCCAGCACGUUAUGGUGGGGACUCAGUGGAGACCGCCGGGGUCAACUCGGAGGAAGGUGGGGAUGGCGUCAAGUCAUCAUGCCCCUUAUGUCCAGGGCUUCACGCAUGCUACAAUGGCUGGUACAGAGAGUGGCGAGCCUGUGAGGGUGAGCGAAUCUCGGAAAGCCGGUCUCAGUUCGGAUUGGGGUCUGCAACUCGACCUCAUGAAGUCGGAGUCGCUAGUAAUCGCAGAUCAGCAACGCUGCGGUGAAUACGUUCCCGGG
rnacentral:rRNA from 1 species